CACGCCAUCUUGGCCAGCCGAAGCGGCCUUUUCAUUUCUCAUCAGUCCAGAAGACAAGUCGUGUGUGGCGUGGCUGCGGAUUUUUCCCAAAUUCUGCGGUUUCUACCCAACUUGUUGAGAAAAUGAGAGCUAAGUGGCGGAAGAAGCGUAUGCGAAGGCUGAAGCGUAAGCGCAGAAAGAUGCGUGCGAGGUCCAAGUAAUUCUCCACGAGACUUUACGGUUCCGCGUGUUCCGGACAGGGGCUGCUGAGCAGCAGGACGUGACGCGCCCGCAAGGUGUGCAGUCAGAGGAAUGUUCUGUGUUUGUGGAAAUAAAUCAAUAGCCCUUUGUGUGGACACGAAAA